rnacentral:lncRNA from 1 species
CUUGCUCAGCCUGAGGGUAGGACUAAUCGGUUUCAACAGCAAUAGCCAAAAGCAUUCUUGUAUGCACCGAUGAACAUGUAGAAAAAGAUACAGUCGACAAAGAAACUGUCAAAGCUACAUCUUUCCGACACCGGAGCUUCAAAUGCUGCUUUGCCACAAAUGAGGAUGCAGCUGCAGGAUAUUCCCCAACCGCACGUCUACACCUCUUAUACAAGGUCGUGAUCCCUAGUAAUAGAUCGGAAAAUAAUCCUCCGAACAUGACAACGAACAUAGCUCCCCAGUCAUAGUAGUGGACAUGAGAUGAAUAAGAGAACCAAUCUGCAGCUUGACCAUUAAUGGUAAUAGGGUGCCACAGCAACCAGCAGGUAAAAUGAUGACAAGGGUCAAACCCAAGAAUUGCCUAGAGAAGUUUUUCUAAAGCUAACUACUUUAUCUGAAGGCAGGUUUAGACGGCAAAUCAUUCAAAUUUUUGCGGUCCGAAUCUACUAUUAUCGUACGGACAUAACUGCAGCUAUACAAUGACUCGAGGAAGUGGGGUGUUCAACUCUCCGAUAGUGGACCUUCACAUAUUGGAGGUUCCUCCACUCCAUCAUCAAUGGAGAAACGAAGAGGGAUAUAUAACGCCAGUAACUAAGCUGCGGAACAGGCAGUCAUGUAGCAUACCGUUCGAAUUUGUAUGCAAGUACUUCCUAGACGCUUCAUUUUGCCACCAAAAUUUCAUAUAGAGGCCUUAUUCCAAAUUGUAAUGAACGAGUUCAAUAAGCGAACUUAAGAAACGAUAGUAAAAAGAGAAUCAAAGACACAACAACAAAUAUUUAGCAUCCAAGACGUUCGAUUAAAGCAGCAAACAAAAACAAAACAUCAAAUAUAGUUCCAACAACAAAACCGAAAUUCCAAAACUCAAAGGUACUACAACAAGAUAAUAGUUGGGGAAACUUAAUCAUCGAACAUACUGAAGCCCAUUUCCUCAUCAGACUCCUCCUCUGGCUCUGCCUUCUUCUCCUCUUCCUUGGCAGCAGCAGGGGCAGCAGCACCAGCGCUAGCACCACUUGCAGCAGCAGCAGCAGGGGCUGCCACGGCAAACUUGCUAGGAUC